GUGCGAGACCGAUAGCGAACAAGUACCGUGAGGAAAAGAUGAAAAGAACUUUGAAAAGAGAGUUAAAGAGUACCUGAAACUGCUGAAAGGGAAGCGAAUCGUAUCCAGUGUCUAUAAUCUGCGGCAUAUUUCAUUGGCGGCGGUGCGCGUGCUUUUGCGUCGGAAGCGGCUUUUGUUGCUCUGUGCUUUUGCUGUGCGUGGUGUUGCUGGUGCCCUGUGUUGCGGUGGGACGUCAGAGUCAGUUUGUAUGCUGCGGGAAAUGGCUGCCGAGGAAGUAGGUCGAGAUUUCGGUCUUGGCUGUUAUAUCUUGGUGGUUUGUUGUCGUGGUUGGGACUGAGGUGCCUACAAUGUGCUUUUGAGUGUGCCGGGUUCUCAUUUGGUGGACUGUUUGGAUAGCUUGCUAUGCUUGUGGUUUUUUCAUCGAGUGAUUGAGUCUGGUGGUAACUUGUUGCUGUUCGGGACUUUGA
rnacentral:rRNA from 2 species